GAUGAACGCUGGCGGCGUGCCUAAUACAUGCAAGUCGAGCGAACGGACGAGAAGCUUGCUUCUCUGAUGUUAGCGGCGGACGGGUGAGUAACACGUGGAUAACCUACCUAUAAGACUGGGAUAACUUCGGGAAACCGUAGCUAAUACCGGAUAAUAUUUUGAACCGCAUGGUUCAAAAGUGAAAGACGGUCUUGCUGUCACUUAUAGAUGGAUCCGCGCUGCAUUAGCUAGUUGGUAAGGUAACGGCUUACCAAGGCAACGAUGCAUAGCCGACCUGAGAGGGUGAUCGGCCACACUGGAACUGAGACACGGUCCAGACUACUACGGGAGGCAGCAGUAGGGAAUCUUCCGCAAUGGGCGAAAGCCUGACGGAGCAACGCCGCGUGAGUGAUGAAGGUCUUAGGAUCGUAAAACUCUGUUAUUAGGGAAGAACAUAUGUGUAAGUAACUGUGCACAUAUUGACGGUACCUAAUCAGAAAGCCACGGCUAACUACGUG
rnacentral:rRNA from 1 species